CCUACGGGAGGCAGCAGUGGGGAAUAUUGGACAAUGGGCGAAAGCCUGAUCCAGCAAUUCCGCGUGUGUGAAGAAGGCCUUCGGGUUGUAAAGCACUUUAGUGGGGGAAGAAACAGCUUGGCCACACCAAGCCUUGACGGUACCCCAAGAAUAAGCACCGGCUAACUCUGUGCCAGCAGCCGCGGUAAUACAGAGGGUGCAAGCGUUAAUCGGAUUUACUGGGCGUAAAGGGUGCGUAGGUGGCUAUUUAAGUCGGAUGUGAAAGCCCGGGGCUCAACCUCGGAAUUGCAUUCGAUACUGAGUGGCUAGAGUUCGGUAGAGGGCGGCGGAAUUUCCGGUGUAGCGGUGAAAUGCGUAGAUAUCGGAAGGAACAUCAAUGGCGAAGGCAGCCGCCUGGGCCUGGACUGACACUGAGGCACGAAAGCGUGGGUAGCAAACAGGAUUAGAUACCCUGGUAGUCCACGCCGUAAACGAUGAGAACUUGACGUUGGUUCGUUUUACGAAUCGGUGUCGCAGUUAACGCGAUAAGUUCUCCGCCUGGGGAGUACGGCCGCAAGGUUGAAACUCAAAGGAAUUGACGG
rnacentral:rRNA from 1 species